GAUGAACGCUGGCGGCGUGCUUAACACAUGCAAGUCGAACGAUGAAGCCCAGCUUGCUGGGUGGAUUAGUGGCGAACGGGUGAGUAACACGUGAGUAACCCGCCCUUAACUCUGGGAUAAGCCUGGGAAACUGGGUCUAUUACCGGAUAGGAGCGUCCACCGCAUGGUGGGUGUUGGAAAGAUUUAUCGGUGUUGGAUGGACUCGCGGCCUAUCAGCUUGUUGGUGAGGUAAUGGCUCACCAAGGCGACGACGGGUAGCCGGCCUGAGAGGGUGACCGGCCACACUGGGGCUGAGACACGGCCCAGACUCCUACGGGAGGCAGCAGUGGGGAAUAUUGCACAAUGGGCGCAAGCGUGAUGCAGCGACGCCACGUGAGGGAUGACGGCCUUCGGGUUGUAAACCUCGUUCAGUAGUGAAGAAGCGAAAGAGACGGUACCUGCAGAAGAAGCACCGGCUAACUACGUG
rnacentral:rRNA from 1 species